GAUGAAGAACGUAGCAAAAUGCGAUACUUGGUGUGAAUUGCAGAAUCCCGUGAACCAUCGAGUUUUUGAACGCAAGUUGCGCCCGAAGCCUUUUGGCCGAGGGCACGUCUGCCUGGGCGUCACGCAUCGCGUCGCCCCCCACAAUUCUCCGUAAAGGGAACGUGUGUUUUGGGGGCGGAUAUUGGUCUCCCGUGCUCAUGGCGUGGUUGGCCGAAAUAGGAGUCCUUUCGAUGGACGCACGAACUAGUGGUGGUCGUAAAAACCCUCGUCUUUUGUUUCGUGCUGUUGCUCGCAAGGUAAACUCUUUAAAAACCCCAAUGUGUCGUCUCUUGACGACGCUUCGACCGCGACCCCAGGUCAGGCGGGACUACCCGCUGAGUUUAAGCAUAUCAAUAGCGGAGGA
rnacentral:misc_RNA from 1 species